AACGAACGCUGGCGGCAUGGAUGAGGCAUGCAAGUCGCGGGAAUCUGCGCAAGCAGGGAACCGGCGUAAGGGGCAGUAAGGCGUGGGUACCCACCCCCGGGUCCGGGAUAGCCCGCCGAGAGGCGGGGUAAUACCGGAUGACCUCGGGAGAGCAAAGCUCCGGCGCCCGGGGCGGGGCCAACGUGAGAUUAGCUAGUUGGCGGGGUGACGGCCCACCAAGGCGGAGAUGUCUAGCGGGUGUGAGAGCACGACCCGCGCCACUCGCACUGAGACACGGGCGAGCCACCUACGGGUGGCGGCAGGCGGGGAUCUUCGGCAAUGGGGGCAGCGCCGACGGAGCGAGGCCGCGUGGGCGACGGAGGCCUUCGGGUUGUAAAGCCCUGUCGAGGGGGAGAAAGGGGAAACCCGGAUCCAUCCCUGGAGGAAGCUCGGGCUAAGUUCGUGCCAGCCGCCGCCGUAACAC
rnacentral:rRNA from 1 species